rnacentral:rRNA from 1 species
UACGGAAGGCAGCAGUGGGGAAUAUUGCACAAUGGGCGCAAGCCUGAUGCAGCCAUGCCGCGUGUAUGAAGAAGGCCUUCGGGUUGUAAAGUACUUUCAGCGGGGAGGAAGGCGAUGUGGUUAAUAACCGCGUCGAUUGACGUUACCCGCAGAAGAAGCACCGGCUAACUCCGUGCCAGCAGCCGCGGUAAUACGGAGGGUGCAAGCGUUAAUCGGAAUUACUGGGCGUAAAGCGCACGCAGGCGGUCUGUUAAGUCAGAUGUGAAAUCCCCGGGCUUAACCUGGGAACUGCAUUUUGAAACUGGCAGGCUUGAGUCUCGUAGAGGGGGUAGAAUUCCAGGUGUAGCGGUGAAAUGCGUAGAGAUCUGGAGGAAUACCGGUGGCGAAGGCGGCCCCUGGGACGAAGACUGACGCUCAGGGUGCGAAAGCGUGGGGAGCAAACGAGGAUUAGGAUACC